rnacentral:tRNA from 1 species
GCCCGCGUAGCUCAGUGGAUAGAGCGUCUGCCUCCGGAGCAGAAGGCCACAGGUUCGAUUCCUGUCGGGGGCACCA